rnacentral:rRNA from 1 species
UACGUAGGGUGCGAGCGUUGUCCGGAAUUAUUGGGCGUAAGGAGCUCGUAGGCGGCUUGUCGCGUCGGAUGUGAAAGCCCGGGGCUUAACUCCGGGUCUGCAUUCGAUACGGGCAGGCUAGAGUUCGGUAGGGGAGAUCGGAAUUCCUGGUGUAGCGGUGAAAUGCGCAGAUAUCAGGAGGAACACCGGUGGCGAAGGCGGAUCUCUGGGCCGUAACUGACGCUGAGGAGCGAAAGCCAGGGGAGCAAACGGG